rnacentral:rRNA from 1 species
UCGUCAGCUCGUGCCGUGAGGUGUUGGGUUAAGUCCCGCAACGAGCGCAACCCUUAUUUUUAGUUGCCAUCGGGUAAUGCCGGGCACUCUGAAGAGACUGCCAGCACAAGCUGGAGGAAGGUGGGGAUGACGUCAAGUCAGCAUGGCCCUUACGUCCAGGGCUACACACGUGCUACAAUGGCUGGUACAGAGGGCUGCCAACCCGUGAGGGGGAGCGAAUCCCACAAAGCCAGCCUCAGUUCGGAUUGUAGGCUGCAAUUCGCCUACAUGAAGUCGGAAUCACUAGUAACCGCAGGUCAGCUACACUGCGGUGAAUGCGUUCCCGGGCC